CAAUAGCGUAUAUUAAAGUUGUUGCAGUUAAAAAGCUCGUAGUUGAAUUUCUGGCGGGCGCGCCGGUCUUCCAAGUGUUGUACUGGGCGCAGUCCGCCAUCCUUGUGGAGAGGGCUCGCAUUGAGUUGCGUGUCGGAUCUGCAUCAUUUACUGUGAAAAAAUUAGAGUGUUUAAAGCAGGCUGUCGCUUGAAUACAUUAGCAUGGAAUAAUAAGAUAGGACUUCGGUCUAUUUUGUUGGUUGCGAACCGAGGUAAUGAUUAAUAGGGAUAGUUGGGGGUAUUCAUACUUAAUUGUCAGAGGUGAAAUUCUUGGAUUUAUGAAAGAUGAACAACUGCGAAAGCAUUUACCAAGGAUGUUUUCAUUAA
rnacentral:rRNA from 1 species